rnacentral:rRNA from 1 species
UCCCCUAGUAACGGCGAGUGAAGAGGGAAAAGCUCAAAUUUUAAAUCUACCUGGUUUUUCCCAGAUCGAGUUGUAGUUUGAAGAAGCGAUAUCGGUGUUGAGGUCUGGUUUAAGUUCUUUGGAACAAGACAUCAUGGAGGGUGAGAAUCCCGUGCAUGAUCAGACCAAGAUACUAAGUAUACGCUUUCCAAGAGUCGAGUUGUUUGGGAGUGCAGCUCAAAAUGGGUGGUAGACUUCACCUAAGGCUAAAUAUCAGCGAGAGACCGAUAGCGAACAAGUACUGUGAAGGAAAGAUGAAAAGAACUUUGAAAAGAGAGUUAAAUAGUACGUGAAAUUGUUGAAAGGGAAACGAUUGAAGUCAGUCAUGCCAGUGAAAACUCAGUUUGUCGGUGAUCUAGUUCAGGAGUAGAGGCAGGGUCAAACCGUCUCUCUUCUGGACGGGAUUUUUGGCAGAUGGAAUUUUUUUCUGGCAGGUCAGCGUCGGUUUCGGGGGUUGUAAAAUACUUGGGGUAAAGUAGCUCUGCUUCGGGAGAGUGUUAUAGACCUUGGGGGAUACAGCCCGCGGGAUCGAGGAUUGCAGCAAAUGCCUU